rnacentral:rRNA from 1 species
GGGUCAGUAGGUUGGUCGUGCCACCGGUACGUACUGGUCUCACUGAUUCCUCCUUCCUGAAGAACCGUAAUGCCAUUAAUUUGGUGUUGCGGGGAAACAGGACUGUUACUUUGAAAAAAUUAGAGUGUUUAAAGCAAGCUAACGCUUGAAUACAUUAGAAUGGAAUAAUGAAAUAGGACGAUCGAUCCUAUUUUGUUGGUUUCUAGGAUUGACGUA